rnacentral:tRNA from 1 species
GCGCCGGUAGCUCAGUUGGUAGAGCAACGCCCUCUUAAGGCGAUGGUCGUGGGUUCGAUCCCCUCCCGGCGCA